CCUACGGGGGGCAGCAGUGAGGAAUAUUGGUCAAUGGGCGAGAGCCUGAACCAGCGAAGUCGCGUGAAGGAUGAAGGAUCUAUGGUUUGUAAACUUCUUUUAUAUGGGAAUACAGUGAGGAACGUGUUCCUUUUUGUAUGUACCAUAUGAAUAAGCAUCGGCUAACUCCGUGCCAGCAGCCGCGGUAAUACGGAGGAUGCGAGCGUUAUCCGGGUUUGUUGGGUUUAAAGGAUGCGGAGGUGGUUAAUUAAGUCAGCGGUGAAAGUUUGUGGCUCAACCAUAAAAUUGCCGUUGAAACUGGUUGACUUGAGUAUAUUUGAGGUAGGCGGAAUGCGUGGUGUAGCGGUGAAAUGCAUAGAUAUCACGAAGAACUCCGAUUGCGAAGGCAGCUUACUAAACUAUAACUGACACUGAAGCACGAAAGCGUGGGGAGCAAACAGGAUUAGAUACCCUAGUAGUC
rnacentral:rRNA from 1 species